rnacentral:rRNA from 1 species
UUGCAUAUCAAUAAGCGGAGGAAAAGAAACUAACAAGGAUUCCCCUAGUAACGGCGAGUGAAGCGGGAAGAGCUCAAAUUUGAAAGCUGGCACCUUCGGUGUCCGCGUUGUAAUCUCGAGAAGUGUUUUCCGUGCUGGACCAUGUACAAGUUCCUUGGAAUAGGACGUCAUAGAGGGUGAAAAUCCCGUACUUGACAUGGACGCCCAGUGCUUUGUGAUACACUCUCCACGAGUCGAGUUGUUUGGGAAUGCAGCUCAAAAUGGGUGGUAAAUUCCAUCUAAAGCUAAAUAUUGGGGAGAGACCGAUAGCGAACAAGUACCGUGAGGGAAAGAUGAAAAGCACUUUGGAAAGAGAGUUAAACAGUACGUGAAAUUGUCGAAAGGGAAGCGCUUGAAGUUAGACAUGCUUGCCGGGAUUCAGCCUUGCUUUUGCUUGGUGCAUUUCCCGGUGUGCAGGCCAGCAUCAGUUUUGUUUGCCGGAUAAGGGUGAGAGGAAUGUGGCCCCUCGGGGUGUUAUAGCCUCUCACUGGAUACGGCGGAUGGGACUGAGGACCGCAGUGUGCCUUUAUGGCGGGCCUUCGUGCACCUCACACUCAAGAUGCAGCGAAGCCGCACAAACCAU